rnacentral:snRNA from 1 species
AGCUUUGCGCAGUGGCAGUAUCGUAGCCAAUGAGGUUUAUCCGAGGCGCGAUUAUUGCUAAUUGAAACCUUUAUGGAGUCAUUAUCCUCUGUAACUUCUAAGCUUGUUCAUCCUGAUAACU